CCUACGGGAGGCAGCAGUGGGGGAUAUUGCACAAUGGGGGAAACCCUGAUGCAGCGACGCCGCGUGGGUGAAGAAGCGCCUCGGCGCGUAAAGCCCUGUCAGCAGGGAAGAAAAUGACGGUACCUGAAGAAGAAGCCCCGGCUAACUACGUGCCAGCAGCCGCGGUAAUACGUAGGGGGCAAGGGUUAUCCGGAUUUACUGGGCGUAAAGGGGGCGCAGACGGCGAUGCAAGCAAGGAGUGAAAGCCCGGGGCCCAACCCCGGGACUGCUCUUGAAACUGCGUGGCGAGAGUGCAGGAGGGGCAGGCGGAAUUCCUGGUGUAGCGGUGAAAUGCGUAGAUAUCAGGAGGAACACCGGUGGCGAAGGCGGCCUGCUGGACUGCAACUGACGUUGAGGCCCGAAAGCGUGGGGAGCAAACAGGAUUAGAUACCCGGGUAGUC
rnacentral:rRNA from 1 species